AAAACAUCCUAACUGAAACAGCGCUUCCCUGUGGAAAAAUAAAAAGCCAAGAGGAAAGGAACAGCCAGGACACUGGAAGUUUAAAAGAAGACUCAUAAAACCCAAAGGCAUUGAACUUCACCUUAAGGAGAAGUUAGAGGAGGAAAUAUUUAAGUCCUCCAGGUCUAAGGGAUGGGACGAUGAGGGAGGAGCAAUCCUGCUGCCUGGAGU